rnacentral:ncRNA from 1 species
AAAAGCCCAAAAAAAUUGGGUUUAGAUCCACACGAAUGUGGAGAGCCUUAACCGGAUGUGUUCAAAGACCCGAAGGUCAAAUCCCGUCUCUGUCAGAGGAGAUGCCAACCAUCUCUCCUUUCUACGAACACA